rnacentral:lncRNA from 1 species
CCCCCCACAAACCUGCUUCUCCUCCUUCUUCUUUUCAAAGUAAAGGACCUCACCUUUCCUCAGGUGCUCAGACAAAAGCCUUGGGGUUGUCCUUCAUUCCCCACUUUAUCUCACAGCCCCAUCCAAUCCGUCUGCAAAUCCUAUCAGUUCUAGAAUCCAGGCACUUCUUCCCACCCUCCCCGCCACCCCCUGGUGUCUGAGCCACCAUCAUAUUCUGCCUGAUUUCCUGUUUUCACCCUGCAGUCUGUCCUCCCCACAGCAGCCUUUAAACCAUCGACCAUAUCCUCACCACAGCCUAAAAAGCCCCAUGAGAUCUGGCCACCAACCUGGCCCACUUCCCCCUCCGUCUCCACCCCUGGCACCCGGGUCUAGCCACUUUGACCAUUUUGCUCCUUCUGGGUCACGACCAACUCCUUCCGGUCUCAGAACACUUGUCUGCCUGGAGUGCUGUCCCCCAGAUCUUCCCGGACUGGUCCCAUUCUCAGUGCCUGGCCACCCAUUGCUUGGCACGUAGUAGCUGCUCACUAAACCAUCUACCGAACCCACAGGGAUGGGAUGGCAGGACAAGGGCCGAGAGUAGCAGGAGUGCCACGUCACCACCAGGUGGCGCUGCAGGCACGUCCCUGGGUGGUGACUUCGUGUCCAGCCUCCUGAUUCGUCCUCUCAGCAAAGCCUCCUAGGAGCUCUUGUGCCAGGCGGUGCCAUGGGGCACCAGCUGACUCAGCCCCGGCUCUGCCUGUCCUCCGGUGGCUAUUGGUGGACGUGGUCCAGGGCAUCCACAGAAGCCUGGAAGGAAGGGAGGGCUGGCUCCCACGGCCUGAACUUCUCUGGGGAGGGAGCAGAUGUGUAGGCGUGAGGGGGUGGGAGUGGGGAGAACUGGGGUUCAGCCAGAGCAAGGUGUCUGCGAUGAAGAGUUCUGGAGAGGCCUCGACGUCGAGUCCAUCCAUUGAGCCUGGGUUUGCAUCCCACCUCCUCUGGUCCUCUGCAUGCUUUUCACAAGCCUGGCUUGACUCUGCACCUCGGUUUCCUCAUCUGUCAACAGGGGAUAAAAAUGUGAGCAAGAACUGAACCCCUGUUUUGGGGAGCCGAGGUGGACUGCUCUAUUGGAAUGAGGCUGAGGAGCUUUUGGGGGGCCUCCCCGGUGGUGGGUGGUGUGUGCAUGGGAGUAGUGUGUGAGCUUGAGGGAAAGGCAGGUGGGCAGGAAACCAGCAGCCCCCCGGGGCCUCGGUCUCCUGUUCCAUCAAAGGGGGAAAGUGUCUAGGGCUUCCCCUGCCCUGAGGCCUGUGACCUGAAGAGAGUGUGUGUGUGUGUGUGAGAGUGUGUGUCCCUGGGUAUACGGAUGUGUCUAUGUAUGUCUGUGUUUGAGCGUGUGUGUCUGUGCAAAUGUGUCUGUACAUGUCCACACCUAGGAGCCCGUGGGUGAGGACAGGCAGCCUCUCAGCUUGGCAGAGGAGGAUCAGGGAUUCCAGCAAACCAGGGGCUCUCAUCUCCUCGGGGCCUGGAGCACCUGCUCAGUCAGUGCCUGGGGCAGUGCCCUGAGAGGGCACCAGGACAUCCCGCUUCUGCUGCAGCCGCCCAACCCCAGUAGCUGGAUCUUCUCUCUCCAUCUCUGCCCACGGAGCACCCUGUGCUUCCUGAUUUGUGUGGGUCUGCAUUCAGACCCCAGGGAUUAAGUUGGAGGGGCCAGUCUCCAGCAUCCUCACUUCCUCAUGUGGAAAGUCAGCCUGGCUCUUUUCCCGUCUCCAAAGAGACAAUUAUUAAGCACUUAAUGUGUGCCGGAUGCUUUAUACAUCUGGUCAGUACAUCCUCACAACAGCCCUUUAAGGUAGCUUUAUGCCCAUUUUACAGAAGAGAAAACUGAGGUUCAAAGAAAUGAAGUGACUUGGCUGAGAUCACACAGUAAGUGGGAUUCGAACCCAGCCUGGGUGGACUUUCUGCUGACACAGCUGGGUUGUGGGAGUGGGAAGGGGGCACAGGUUCCCUCUUCUCGGCUCCUGCUUUCCUGGGAAUGGCCAUCUGCCCGGCCGCCUGGCUCUUGGUAUUUUGGCUCGAGUGACCUCCAGGGGAAACGGCGGUGGGUGGAUAGGGGCAGAAGGCAAAGGAGCUGCUGAGGUUUUUGGAGUUCCUGAGCUGAUUCUGGCUUCUCUCCACACAACCACCCCAGGCUGGCCAGGAGGUUUCUCCGCAGUUCUUUCUCCCAGACAAGCAAGCUAAGUCAGCCAUCUCCCAACUCCUGACGGCCCUGCCCAGACAGUCUGAAGAGGCCAUCCUUCUAGGCCCAGCUUCAAGGCCACUUCUUCCUGGAGGCCUUCCCGGAUGGAUGCCCCAUCAGAAGUGGC